AUUGAACGCUGGCGGCAUGCUUUACACAUGCAAGUCGAACGGUAACAGGCCUUCGGGCGCUGACGAGUGGCGAACGGGUGAGUAAUGCAUCGGAACGUGCCCAGUCGUGGGGGAUAACGCAGCGAAAGCUGUGCUAAUACCGCAUACGAUCUGCGGAUGAAAGCGGGGGACCUUCGGGCCUCGCGCGAUUGGAGCGGCCGAUGUCAGAUUAGGUAGUUGGUGGGGGAAAGGCUCACCAAGCCAAAGAGCUGUAGCUGGUAUGAGAGGACGACCAGCCACACUGGGACUGAGACACGGCCCAGACUCCUACGGGAGGCAGCAGUGGGGAAUUUUGGACAAUGGGCGCAAGCCUGAUCCAGCAAUGCCGCGUGCAGGAAGAAGGCCUUCGGGUUGUAAACUGCUUUUGUACGGAGCGAAAAGGCUCCCUCUAAUACAGGGGGCUCAUGACGGUACCGUAAGAAUAAGCACCGGCUAACUACGUGCCAGCCGCCGCAGUAAAAC
rnacentral:rRNA from 1 species